CACAGCUUCAAGUGACUCGAAGAAAAUUAUGUCACACUGUAUACAUACUUUAACUAUGGUAAUUGCCAUUCGAUUAUUUUAAUCAAUCUAAUAAAGUAGUUAAUAAAUAAAAAUAGUAUAAUACCUACUUAUGCAGUCGAGUUUACAAGAUAAAUCAACUGAAAAAGUAACGCGUCAUAUUACCGAAUUAUCUUCAAAACAUAGGAAAACAAACCAUAGAUACAAAUAGCUUUUAUAAGGGGCUUAGUCUCCUAUAAUAUAAUUAUGUAUACUAAUAGUGUUUACUUAAUGAAAACUUAGUUUGUGUGGUUUGUCUGAGUUCUAGGGGCUACUCCCAUCCAUGCCGCUCUCCUUAAUUUGCGCCAAUAAAAAUAAAAUAAAAUUAGUAAAAUUUUAUCCAUCUUUAAAUGUAUAGCAGAAACUUUAUUUACUUUAGAAACUAAAUUUCCUUAUUGCUUACCAAUUUCCGCAUAUGAAUGUGUAGCUUAUAAUAUAUUAUAAAAUCAAUCUCUCAAUCUGUAUCAGCUCUCGCCAAAUUAAAUAAAAUUCAAAGGGGGCACGGAAAUAGCCUUCACGCGGUGGCCCGCGGACAACGACAGCAUACUGACAGUGAAUGGAAACGUCAAUAUGAUGACGGCCAAUCUUUCCAUUACUAUCACUGGUCGGACAAAAAAAAACAGUAUACUAAAAUUAUUAUUGAAUCGUAAAAAUAGGAAAAAUGUUCGCGACAAAUUGUAGGUAUCUGUAUGUAACAAUUAUUUUACACAAUGUUUCGUUUUUCGUCUCUUCUUAAAUUUGCGUAUUAUACACAAAUUAAUACUCUAUUGCAAUUUGCUGUGUGUUUUUUUCAGCAGUAAUAGUUUUCUGACGAUAUUUUCGAAAAUCGGUGAGUGCACACACAUACACUUGAACUCUGUUUGAAAACGCAUGACAUAGCAAAUUCGCAAUCAGCAAAACUAAUUUUGAACUCUUAAUAGUAUUAAUAUUACAGUGAAUUGACA